rnacentral:rRNA from 1 species
CCCUUAGAUGUUCUGGGCCGCACGCGCGCUACACUGACGAAUGCAACGAGCUUAUAACCUUGGCCGAAAGGUCUGGGUAAUCUCCAAAUUUCGUCGUGAUGGGGUUAGAUUAUUGCAAUUAUUAAUCUUCAACGAGGAAUGCCUAGUAAGCGCAAGUCAUCAGCUUGCGUUGAUUACGUCCCUGCCCUUUGUACACACCGCCCGUCGCUCCUACCGAUUGAAUGGUCCGGUGAAGCGUUCGGACCGUGGCCUUUGGACGGUUCGCCGUCUGUUGGCUGCGGGAAGUUCGUUAAACCUUAUCAUUUAGAGGAAGGAGAAGUCGUAACA